rnacentral:rRNA from 1 species
GUAGGGUGCGAGCGUUAAUCGGAAUUACUGGGCGUAAAGCGUGCGCAGGCGGUUAUGUAAGACAGAUGUGAAAUCCCCGGGCUCAACCUGGGAACUGCAUUUGUGACUGCAUGGCUAGAGUACGGUAGAGGGGGAUGGAAUUCCGCGUGUAGCAGUGAAAUGCGUAGAUAUGCGGAGGAACACCGAUGGCGAAGGCAAUCCCCUGGACCUGUACUGACGCUCAUGCACGAAAGCGUGGGGAGCAAACAGGAUUAGAUACCCUGGUAGUCCACGCCCUAAACGAUGUCAACUGGUUGUUGGGAAUUAGUUUUCUCAGUAACGAAGCUAACGCGUGAAGUUGACCGCCUGGGGAGUACGGCCGCAAGGUUG